rnacentral:rRNA from 1 species
GAUGAGUAGGGCGGGACACGUGGUAUCCUGUCUGAAUAUGGGGGGACCAUCCUCCAAGGCUAAAUACUCCUGACUGACCGAUAGUGAACCAGUACCGUGAGGGAAAGGCGAAAAGAACCCCGGCGAGGGGAGUGAAAAAGAACCUGAAACCGUGUACGUACAAGCAGUGGGAGCACGCUUAGGCGUGUGACUGCGUACCUUUUGUAUAAUGGGUCAGCGACUUAUAUUCUGUAGCAAGGUUAACCGAAUAGGGGAGCCGAAGGGAAACCGAGUCUUAACUGGGCGUUAAGUUGCAGGGUAUAGACCCGAAACCCGGUGAUCUAGCCAUGGGCAGGUUGAAGGUUGGGUAACACUAACUGGAGGACCGAACCGACUAAUGUUGAAAAAUUAGCGGAUGACUUGUGGCUGGGGGUGAAAGGCCAAUCAAACCGGGAGAUAGCUGGUUCUCCCCGAAAGCUAUUUAGGUAGCGCCUCGUGAAUUCAUCUCCGGGGGUAGAGCACUGUUUCGGCAAGGGGGUCAUCCCGACUUACCAACCCGAUGCAAACUGCGAAUACCGGAGAAUGUUAUCACGGGAGACACACGGCGGGUGCUAACGUCCGUCGUGAAGAGGGAAACAACCCAGACCGCCAGCUAAGGUCCCAAAGUCAUGGUUAAGUGGGAAACGAUGUGGGAAGGCCCAGACAGCCAGGAUGUUGGCUUAGAAGCAGCCAUCAUUUAAAGAAAGCGUAAUAGCUCACUGGUCGAGUCGGCCUGCGCGGAAGAUGUAACGGGGCUAAACCAUGCACCGAAGCUGCGGCAGCGACGCUUAUGCGUUGUUGGGUAGGGGAGCGUUCUGUAAGCCUGCGAAGGUGUGCUGUGAGGCAUGCUGGAGGUAUCAGAAGUGCGAAUGCUGACAUAAGUAACGAUAAAGCGGGUGAAAAGCCCGCUCGCCGGAAGACCAAGGGUUCCUGUCCAACGUUAAUCGGGGCAGGGUGAGUCGACCCCUAAGGCGAGGCCGAAAGGCGUAGUCGAUGGGAAACAGGUUAAUAUUCCUGUACUUGGUGUUACUGCGAAGGGGGGACGGAGAAGGCUAUGUUGGCCGGGCGACGGUUGUCCCGGUUUAAGCGUGUAGGCUGGUUUUCCAGGCAAAUCCGGAAAAUCAAGGCUGAGGCGUGAUGACGAGGCACUACGGUGCUGAAGCAACAAAUGCCCUGCUUCCAGGAAAAGCCUCUAAGCAUCAGGUAACAUCAAAUCGUACCCCAAACCGACACAGGUGGUCAGGUAGAGAAUACCAAGGCGCUUGAGAGAACUCGGGUGAAGGAACUAGGCAAAAUGGUGCCGUAACUUCGGGAGAAGGCACGCUGAUAUGUAGGUGAAGUCCCUUGCGGAUGGAGCUGAAAUCAGUCGAAGAUACCAGCUGGCUGCAACUGUUUAUUAAAAACACAGCACUGUGCAAACACGAAAGUGGACGUAUACGGUGUGACGCCUGCCCGGUGCCGGAAGGUUAAUUGAUGGGGUCAGCGCAAGCGAAGCUCUUGAUCGAAGCCCCGGUAAACGGCGGCCGUAACUAUAACGGUCCUAAGGUAGCGAAAUUCCUUGUCGGGUAAGUUCCGACCUGCACGAAUGGCGUAAUGAUGGCCAGGCUGUCUCCACCCGAGACUCAGUGAAAUUGAACUCGCUGUGAAGAUGCAGUGUACCCGCGGCAAGACGGAAAGACCCCGUGAACCUUUACUAUAGCUUGACACUGAACAUUGAGCCUUGAUGUGUAGGAUAGGUGGGAGGCUUUGAAGUGUGGACGCCAGUCUGCAUGGAGCCGGCCUUGAAAUACCACCCUUUAAUGUUUGAUGUUCUAACGUGGACCCGUGAUCCGGGUUGCGGACAGUGUCUGGUGGGUAGUUUGACUGGGGCGGUCUCCUCCUAAAGAGUAACGGAGGAGCACGAAGGUUGGCUAAUCCUGGUCGGACAUCAGGAGGUUAGUGCAAUGGCAUAAGCCAGCUUGACUGCGAGCGUGACGGCGCGAGCAGGUGCGAAAGCAGGUCAUAGUGAUCCGGUGGUUCUGAAUGGAAGGGCCAUCGCUCAACGGAUAAAAGGUACUCCGGGGAUAACAGGCUGAUACCGCCCAAGAGUUCAUAUCGACGGCGGUGUUUGGCACCUCGAUGUCGGCUCAUCACAUCCUGGGGCUGAAGUAGGUCCCAAGGGUAUGGCUGUUCGCCAUUUAAAGUGGUACGCGAGCUGGGUUUAGAACGUCGUGAGACAGUUCGGUCCCUAUCUGCCGUGGGCGCUGGAGAACUGAGGGGGGCUGCUCCUAGUACGAGAGGACCGGAGUGGACGCAUCACUGGUGUUCGGGUUGUCAUGCCAAUGGCACUGCCCGGUAGCUAAAUGCGGAAGAGAUAAGUGCUGAAAGCAUCUAAGCACGAAACUUGCCCCGAGAUGAGUUCUCCCUGACCCUUUAAGGGUCCUGAAGGAACGUUGAAGACGACGACGUUGAUAGGCCGGGUGUGUAAGCGCAGCGAUGCGUUGAGCUAACCGGUACUAAUGAACCGUGAGGCUUAACCUUACAACGCCGAAG